UACGGGGGGGGCAAGCGUUGUUCGGAAUUACUGGGCGUAAAGGGCUCGUAGGCGGCCAACUAAGUCAGACGUGAAAUCCCUCGGCUUAACCGGGGAACUGCAUCUGAUACUGGAUGGCUUGAGUUCGGGAGAGGGAUGCGGAAUUCCAGGUGUAGCGGUGGAAUGCGCAGAUAUCAGGAGGAACACCGGUGGCGAAGGCGGGAUCCUGGGCCAGUACUGACGCUGAGGAGCGAAAGCGUGGGGAGCAAACAGG
rnacentral:rRNA from 1 species